rnacentral:rRNA from 1 species
GGUUAAGCGACUAAGCGUACACGGUGGAUGCCCUGGCAGUCAGAGGCGAUGAAGGACGUGCUAAUCUGCGAAAAGCGUCGGUAAGGUGAUAUGAACCGUUAUAGCCGGCGAUGUCCGAAUGGGGAAACCCAGUGUGAUUCGUCACACUAUCGUUAACUGAAUACAUAGGUUAACGAGGCGAACCGGGGGAACUGAAACAUCUAAGUACCCCGAGGAAAAGAAAUCAACCGAGAUUCCCCCAGUAGCGGCGAGCGAACGGGGAGCAGCCCAGAGUCUGAAUCAGCUUGUGUGUUAGUGGAACGGUCUGGAAAGUCCGACGGUACAGGGUGAUAGUCCCGUACACCAAAAUGCACAGGCUGUGAACUCGAAGAGUAGGGCGGGACACGUGGUAUCCUGUCUGAAUAUGGGGGGACCAUCCUCCAAGGCUAAAUACUCCUGACUGACCGAUAGUGAACCAGUACCGUGAGGGAAAGGCGAAAAGAACCCCGGCGAGGGGAGUGAAAAAGAACCUGAAACCGUGUACGUACAAGCAGUGGGAGCACCUUCGGGUGUGACUGCGUACCUUUUGUAUAAUGGGUCAGCGACUUAUAUUCUGUAGCAAGGUUAACCGUAUAGGGGAGCCGCAGGGAAACCGAGUCUUAACUGGGCGUUAAGUUGCAGGGUAUAGACCCGAAACCCGGUGAUCUAGCCAUGGGCAGGUUGAAGGUUGGGUAACACUAACUGGAGGACCGAACCGACUAAUGUUGAAAAAUUAGCGGAUGACUUGUGGCUGGGGGUGAAAGGCCAAUCAAACCGGGAGAUAGCUGGUUCUCCCCGAAAGCUAUUUAGGUAGCGCCUCGUGAACUCAUCUUCGGGGGUAGAGCACUGUUUCGGCUAGGGGGUCAUCCCGACUUACCAACCCGAUGCAAACUACGAAUACCGAAGAAUGUUAUCACGGGAGACACACGGCGGGUGCUAACGUCCGUCGUGAAGAGGGAAACAACCCAGACCGCCAGCUAAGGUCCCAAAGUCAUGGUUAAGUGGGAAACGAUGUGGGAAGGCACAGACAGCCAGGAUGUUGGCUUAGAAGCAGCCAUCAUUUAAAGAAAGCGUAAUAGCUCACUGGUCGAGUCGGCCUGCGCGGAAGAUGUAACGGGGCUAAACCAUGCACCGAAGCUGCGGCAGCGACACUAUGUGUUGUUGGGUAGGGGAGCGUUCUGUAAGCCUGCGAAGGUGACCUGUGAGGGUUGCUGGAGGUAUCAGAAGUGCGAAUGCUGACAUAAGUAACGAUAAAGCGGGUGAAAAGCCCGCUCGCCGGAAGACCAAGGGUUCCUGUCCAACGUUAAUCGGGGCAGGGUGAGUCGACCCCUAAGGCGAGGCCGAAAGGCGUAGUCGAUGGGAAACAGGUUAAUAUUCCUGUACUUGGUGUUACUGCGAAGGGGGGACGGAGAAGGCUAUGUUAGCCGGGCGACGGUUGUCCCGGUUUAAGCAUGUAGGCUGAUUGUCCAGGCAAAUCCGGAUAAUCAAGGCUGAGGUGUGAUGACGAGGCACUACGGUGCUGAAGUAACAAAUGCCCUGCUUCCAGGAAAAGCCUCUAAGCAUCAGGUAACAUCAAAUCGUACCCCAAACCGACACAGGUGGUCAGGUAGAGAAUACCAAGGCGCUUGAGAGAACUCGGGUGAAGGAACUAGGCAAAAUGGUGCCGUAACUUCGGGAGAAGGCACGCUGGUGUGUAGGUGAAGUCCCUGCGGAUGGAGCUGAGACCAGUCGAAGAUACCAGCUGGCUGCAACUGUUUAUUAAAAACACAGCACUGUGCAAACACGAAAGUGGACGUAUACGGUGUGACGCCUGCCCGGUGCCGGAAGGUUAAUUGAUGGGGUUAUCCGUAAGGAGAAGCUCUUGAUCGAAGCCCCGGUAAACGGCGGCCGUAACUAUAACGGUCCUAAGGUAGCGAAAUUCCUUGUCGGGUAAGUUCCGACCUGCACGAAUGGCGUAAUGAUGGCCAGGCUGUCUCCACCCGAGACUCAGUGAAAUUGAACUCGCUGUGAAGAUGCAGUGUACCCGCGGCAAGACGGAAAGACCCCGUGAACCUUUACUAUAGCUUGACACUGAACAUUGAGCCUUGAUGUGUAGGAUAGGUGGGAGGCUUUGAAGCGUGGACGCCAGUCUGCGUGGAGCCAACCUUGAAAUACCACCCUUUAAUGUUUGAUGUUCUAACGUUGGCCCCUUACCGGGGUUGCGGACAGUGUCUGGUGGGUAGUUUGACUGGGGCGGUCUCCUCCCAAAGCGUAACGGAGGAGCACGAAGGUUAGCUAAUCCUGGUCGGACAUCAGGAGGUUAGUGCAAUGGCAUAAGCUAGCUUGACUGCGAGCGUGACGGCGCGAGCAGGUGCGAAAGCAGGUCAUAGUGAUCCGGUGGUUCUGAAUGGAAGGGCCAUCGCUCAACGGAUAAAAGGUACUCCGGGGAUAACAGGCUGAUACCGCCCAAGAGUUCAUAUCGACGGCGGUGUUUGGCACCUCGAUGUCGGCUCAUCACAUCCUGGGGCUGAAGUAGGUCCCAAGGGUAUGGCUGUUCGCCAUUUAAAGUGGUACGCGAGCUGGGUUUAGAACGUCGUGAGACAGUUCGGUCCCUAUCUGCCGUGGGCGCUGGAGAAUUGAGGGGGGCUGCUCCUAGUACGAGAGGACCGGAGUGGACGCAUCACUGGUGUUCGGGUUGUCAUGCCAAUGGCACUGCCCGGUAGCUAAAUGCGGAAGAGAUAAGUGCUGAAAGCAUCUAAGCACGAAACUUGCCCCGAGAUGAGUUCUCCCUGAGACUUUAAGUCUCCUGAAGGAACGUUGAAGACGACGACGUUGAUAGGCCGGGUGUGUAAGCGCAGCGAUGCGUUGAGCUAACCGGUACUAAUGAACCGUGAGGCUUAACCUUACAACGCCGAAGAUGUUUUG